CAUGCACGUGGUUUUUUUUUAACACAAGCAAACAAAAAACACAUAAUGGCUACUUAUACAGAACAAGCGCAAGCAAGACUCAAGUUUCAGGUACGGUACAGCCAGCAUCCUCCAGUGCACUUUCUGGAGGAGUUCCAGAAGUUGCUUGCGCUGUUUCCCGACGUCACUCUUGACGAAAUUGAUUCGGCGCCAUCCGAAGGUAACACUGGAAAGUAAAUAUUAGAAUGAUUAUUUCAAAUACAAUUAAACUACCAUCAGUGUCAAGCAGUAAUACAUCCAGUGCCAGUGGUGAAGCUGCUCCCCCUCCAGUGAAGAGGCCAAAGAGAGGUAAUUCUAGAGGAAUUAAUUUCAAUAAUUAUCACGUGAUAUGGAUGACGAUCACUUAUCUUUUGCACAGGUGUUUCUCGAGUAAGGACGGUUGGGGGUGAAGCCGGUCCUUCGAGGCCUAAGAAAGGUCCCGGAGGGUAUGAUCACGUUGAUCCUCCGGUCUUGAACGGAGAGGGUCCCUGCCCGUACUGCCACCUGUCACCGUGUGUCAGAGCCAGACCACCCAGCUGGCUGAUUGGAAGCGCUGCACCUAAUUUGGGGAAUAUGGUGAAGCGCUUCAAACUAUACCGCAAGUAUUGGACGCUGCUAGGUCAGUUGGGGGUAUGGAAUCACCCUCUAUAUAUGGCAUAUAAAGUGACCAAAACCAGUGCCCAUGACAAGAGGGAUGUGAUGCCUGACUGUGUAUUGAGAGAGGUGCGUGAACGAUUUCCGAAUCCAGAUAUGGAGUUCCAUACACAGACUUCCAGUCUUCUACUUCCUUUAUUGUUUAAUUAUGUAAAAUGCCAUGUAAAAUGCUGAUUGGCUAGUCAAAA